rnacentral:rRNA from 1 species
GACGAGCUCUGGCGGCGUGCCUAAUACAUGCAAGUCGAGCGGACCGGAUUGGGGCUUGCCUUGAUUCGGUCAGCGGCGGACGGGUGAGUAACACGUGGGCAGCCUGCCCGCAAGACCGGGAUAACUCCGGGAAACCGGAGCUAAUACCGGAUAACACCGAAGACCGCAUGGUCUUCGGUUGAAAGGCGGCCUUUGGGCUGUCACUUGCGGAUGGGCCCGCGGCGCAUUAGCUAGUUGGUGAGGUAACGGCUCACCAAGGCGACGAUGCGUAGCCGGCCUGAGAGGGUGACCGGCCACACUGGGACUGAGACACGGCCCAGACUCCUACGGGAGGCAGCAGUAGGGAAUCUUCCGCAAUGGGCGAAAGCCUGACGGAGCGACGCCGCGUGAGCGAAGAAGGCCUUCGGGUCGUAAAGCUCUGUUGUGAGGGACGAAGGAGCGCCGUUCGAAGAGGGCGGCGCGGUGACGGUACCUCACGAGAAAGCCCCGGCUAACUACGUGCCAGCCGCCGCGGUAA